rnacentral:tRNA from 1 species
AAAAAGAAAGCAUGAUGGUUAUGCGGUUGGCUUGAAACUUAUUAAUGUGGGUUCAACUCCUACUCUUUUUG